rnacentral:rRNA from 1 species
UACGUAGGGAGCAAGCGUUGUCCGGAAUCCUUGGGCGUAAAGCGCGCGUAGGCGGCCUUGUAAGUCCGUUGUGAAAGUCAAAGGCUCAACCUUUGAAAGCCGAUGGAUACUGCAAGGCUGGAGUCCGGAAGAGGCGAGUGGAAUUCCUGGUGUAGCGGUGGAAUGCGCAGAUAUCAGGAGGAACACCAAUAGCGAAGGCAGCUCGCUGGGACGGUACUGACGCUAAGGCGUGAAAGCGUGGGGAGCGAACAGG